rnacentral:rRNA from 1 species
AAGGGUUUGAUCCUGGCUCAGAUUGAACGCUGGCGGCAGGCCUAACACAUGCAAGUCGAGCGGAUGAAGGGAGCUUGCUCCUGGAUUCAGCGGCGGACGGGUGAGUAAUGCCUAGGAAUCUGCCUGGUAGUGGGGGAUAACGUCCGGAAACGGGCGCUAAUACCGCAUACGUCCUGAGGGAGAAAGUGGGGGAUCUUCGGACCUCACGCUAUCAGAUGAGCCUAGGUCGGAUUAGCUAGUUGGUGGGGUAAAGGCCUACCAAGGCGACGAUCCGUAACUGGUCUGAGAGGAUGAUCAGUCACACUGGAACUGAGACACGGUCCAGACUCCUACGGGAGGCAGCAGUGGGGAAUAUUGGACAAUGGGCGAAAGCCUGAUCCAGCCAUGCCGCGUGUGUGAAGAAGGUCUUCGGAUUGUAAAGCACUUUAAGUUGGGAGGAAGGGCAGUAAGUUAAUACCUUGCUGUUUUGACGUUACCAACAGAAUAAGCACCGGCUAACUUCGUGCCAGCAGCCGCGGUAAUACGAAGGGUGCAAGCGUUAAUCGGAAUUACUGGGCGUAAAGCGCGCGUAGGUGGUUCAGCAAGUUGGAUGUGAAAUCCCCGGGCUCAACCUGGGAACUGCAUCCCAAAACUACUGAGCUAGAGUACGGUAGAGGGUGGUGGAAUUUCCUGUGUAGCGGUGAAAUGCGUAGAUAUAGGAAGGAACACCAGUGGCGAAGGCAACCACCUGGACUGAUA